ACGUGUUCGCCUCUGGCUAGAACGUUCAUUUCGCUUCAUGUUAUCUCUUUUUGGGUAGUUUUAUUUAGAAAUGUCAUCAUCUGUAACCAAAUAUCUCCCCCUAGUUCCCACCACCAUGUCUUCAAUGUUGUGCGACGGUGUUGCCAAGUCAAUCGUAUGGCGUUGCUGAGAAGAUAAUCAGCCACAUUUUCCAUAGUUUUCCUCCAGUUACUGCGAGAGCAUGUGGUGGCGUUUCAUUCAGGAAGAAAGAAUGUCAGUUCAGUAGAGUCUCUACACUUGCAUGUGCAUUAUGCAACAGUGUGUUUAUCGAUCUCCUGCCGAUCUUGUUGCCGCAAGUUAAGAUUCACGUUCUGUACGUGGGUUUCAGCUCCCAUGGUUUCCAAGGCCGUGGUGCAACGAGUCACAUCUAUACGCAUUGAGGUCGUUUUUGUGGCCUUCUCGCGGCUGCAUUGUUGGAGUCUUGCCUAACUCAUGGUGCAAUGUAUUGCUUGUAACUUCCUCUAGUCAAUUCGGUUAUGAAGAGUGAGCUUGGUGGAAUAUGACAGCAGAUGCAUAGUUUGCAAUGAAGUUGCAUUGUUCAUUUUCCCUUCACAUAAGAAAGUUGUUCAGGGUUGUAGCAUGCGUAUGCGGAUGUGGUUAUGGAUCACCUUGCACCUCACUUUCUUCGUCUUACUCAACCAUGGCAGAUUUCCGAGUGUAGUUGGUUAGAGUUGACAGUCUCGGUACUUCUUUAACAGUUCAGUUUCUCAUCUUCGAUCGCGUAGUUAAGAGUUGGUAGUGGGUAUGAAAUUUUGGGUAUGAAUUGGCGGGUGGAUGGUAAAAUAGCAUAAAAAUUUGGCCCUAGCUCGCUGGUGCUUGUGGAUCUUCUCGACUUCAUUACUAAAAUAGACUCCGACCCAUAUUUGUGUCAAUCUUCCAGUUUCUGUCACUGCAUGAAAACUUCAGUCUAUUGCCAUUGCUUACAAUUUCAGAUUCUAAUUCUGACGCUCUCCUGUGUACCGUCCUGUAAUCUCUUGAAAUCACUUUGUCGAAUUGAGGAUUGCAAGCUCAUCUCCUCCGAUUCUUUACGAGAACUGAAUCAGUUUUUCGGUUCUUUGUUAUGUCUCUACUUUGAUGUUAUUAAAAUUUCAGCUAUUGAAAGGUCUCCAAUAUGCAUCUGUCCAGCAUCAGAAGACGAGCAAACCGUGGGAUCAGAGCGUUAAUUGUCUGACUUUUUAGUUCAUUUCUUUCUAGGGCUAUGAUUUCCUUUGUGUGAUUGUUAAUUCGUGUUGCGCCUUGUUUUGUUGAAGAGUUUAUGGAAGUAAAGAAAAGUCGUUCAUGUUUAGAGAAUUGGAAGAAAUUGAUCACCUUACAGUUGAGGAGUCUUUCUAGGGUCAAAAGAUAACGAAACUUAUGCAGAUGGGGAGAAAUUGAUGUGAAAUUUGACAUGGUAACAACGAUUGUGAAACGAUCUUGUCUUCGAGUUGUUCACGAUCACAUGGCACCUGCGUAAAAGAGUCAUUUUACCUGAUCAAAUUAUUGCAAGUACAGCCGUCUUCGUCGAAAUUAGAAUGUCAACAAUACACUUAUUGUUAGAUUCUGCAGGUGAUGCAAAAGAAUUAUGAAGUCUUGCUCGGCAAGUUUCCUUAUGCAGAUUUGUUCUGUUGGGGGAAUAUCUUAGAGAUCAUUCCAUGCAUAUGUAUUUUAGUAUUCGUUGAAUGGGUGGUAAUUUUUGCAGCAGCUAAUUCACUCUGGACGGAGCGUUGAAGACAACAACCCUGAUUUUCAUGUAGCCAUGCCCUCUCAGCUUACCAGGCCAUUUUUCGUGUCUCUUGUCCAGACUUCAGGAUGCUUACAAGCCUGACGCUGUAAAGGAGAACAGUUAGAUUUCAAGCUACACCGAAACAGGUUACAAUGUGUAAAAUUUUGGAAUUCGACUUUGCGUUGAUUUGUUGAGCCAUCAUUGAAGGAUCUGAAUGCAUUACUUGUAUUCUUGCAGACUUGGAAUUUUUAGGCAAACAUAGCACUCCUUUUGGACUGUCAUAUUUUAAUCUUGCUUGUAGAUCAUGCCUUCUGAUAUACUGGAGCAGUUGGAUUGUGUUUGGUGCAUCUAACGCGGAGAAGGAUGAGGUUUUAGGUUUAUUGUAACUUGUGUAAUUAAACAAGGCUACUAUCUUCAUCAAAAGCGGGCAUUCCCAGGUGUUUUUAUGCUCUCGGAAGGGGUUAAGCAAUGCCCAGUUCAAACGUUUGAAAAAUAGAAUUUUGAAGAAUACCCAUUUUCAAGAAUGUCUGCUACGUCACAAGCUGGAGUGAGACUCCUUAUAAUUCCCAGAUUCAGUAAGAAUACUAGGGCUUGUAUGCACAAAUGUGCUGAAUUGAAUAGUACUCAAAGCUGUCAUGCACUAGACAAUAUCCUUCCACAAAAGAAUCUUAUCCUAUAGUUGCGGAAAUCUUUGACAGAGAACUUCUCGACACUUGCCUAAAAUGGGUCAUAUGCUAAAAAUCUAAUUUGAAAGCUAUACAAGGAAGCAACUGCGGAAGGUUUCACAGGCAAUGAUAUUCUUCAGUAUUCUACAUCACAUUGGCUUUAGAACUUGGUAUCAGAAGCAGAUGUACCAAAUCUCGAGUCAUUCCUCCGAGAGGUGUAUGUUAUUCUGCUUGAAGCACAUCUAGAUCACAUCCACACAGGGUGUUGAUUUUUGUAAUAAACAUCUCUUUUUAGUUA